GCUAAUACCGCAUAACGUCGCAAGACCAAAGAGGGGGACCUUCGGGCCUCUUGCCAUCGGAUGUGCCCAGAUGGGAUUAGCUAGUAGGUGGGGUAACGGCUCACCUAGGCGACGAUCCCUAGCUGGUCUGAGAGGAUGACCAGCCACACUGGAACUGAGACACGGUCCAGACUCCUACGGGAGGCAGCAGUGGGGAAUAUUGCACAAUGGGCGCAAGCCUGAUGCAGCCAUGCCGCGUGUAUGAAGAAGGCCUUCGGGUUGUAAAGUACUUUCAGCGGGGAGGAAGGGAGUAAAGUUAAUACCUUUGCUCAUUGACGUUACCCGCAGAAGAAGCACCGGCUAACUCCGUGCCAGCAGCCGCGGUAAUACGGAGGGUGCAAGCGUUAAUCGGAAUUACUGGGCGUAAAGCGCACGCAGGCGGUUUGUUAAGUCAGAUGUGAAAUCCCCGGGCUCAACCUGGGAACUGCAUCUGAUACUGGCAAGCUUGAGUCUCGUAGAGGGGGGUAGAAUUCCAGGUGUAGCGGUGAAAUGCGUAGAGAUCUGGAGGAAUACCGGUGGCGAAGGCGGCCCCCUGGACGAAGACUGACGCUCAGGUGCGAAAGCGUGGGGAGCAAACAGGAUCAGAUACCCUGGUAGUCCACGCCGUAAACGAUGUCGACUUGGAGGUUGUGCCCUUGAGGCGUGGCUUCCGGAGCUAACGCGUUAAGUCGACCGCCUGGGGAGUACGGCCGCAAGGUUAAAACUCAAAUGAAUUGACGGGGGCCCGCACAAGCGGUGGAGCAUGUGGUUUAAUUCGAUGCAACGCGAAGAACCUUACCUGGUCUUGACAUCCACAGAACUUUCCAGAGAUGGAUUGGUGCCUUCGGGAACUGUGAGACAGGUGCUGCAUGGCUGUCGUCAGCUCGUGUUGUGAAAUGUUGGGUUAAGUCCCGCAACGAGCGCAACCCUUAUCUUUUGUUGCCAGCGGUCCGGCCGGGAACUCAAAGGAGACUGCCAGUGAUAAACUGGAGGAAGGUGGGGAUGACGUCAAGUCAUCAUGGCCCUUACGACCAGGGCUACACACGUGCUACAAUGGCGCAUACAAAGAGAAGCGACCUCGCGAGAGCAAGCGGACCUCAUAAAGUGCGUCGUAGUCCGGAUUGGAGUCUGCAACUCGACUCCAUGAAGUCGGAAUCGCUAGUAAUCGUGGAUCAGAAUGCCACGGUGAAUACGUUCCCGGGCCUUGUACACACCGCCCGUCACACCAUGGGAGUGGGUUGCAAAAGAAGUAGGUAGCUUAACCUUCGGGAGGGCGCUUACCACUUUGUGAUUCACGACUGGGGUGAAGUCGUAACAAGGUA
rnacentral:rRNA from 1 species